rnacentral:rRNA from 1 species
CUGACCUACGGGGGGCUGCAGUGGGGGAUAUUGCACAAUGGGGGAAACCCUGAUGCAGCGACGCCGCGUGAGGGAAGAAGGUUUUCGGAUUGUAAACCUCUGUCUUCAGUGACGAAACGAGACGGUAACUGAGGAGGAAGCCACGGCUAACUACGUGCCAGCAGCCGCGGUAAUACGUAGGUGGCAAGCGUUGUCCGGAAUUACUGGGUGUAAAGGGAGCGUAGGCGGGGAGACAAGUCGGGUGUUAAAUCUAUCGGCUCAACUGGUAGCAGCACUCGAAACUGUAACUCUUGAGUGAAGUAGAGGUAAGCGGAAUUCCUAGUGUAGCGGUGAAAUGCGUAAAUAUUAGGAGGAACACCAGUGGCGAAGGCGGCUUACUGGGCUUUAACUGACGCUGAGGCUCGAAAGCAUGGGUAGCAAACAGGAUUAGAUACCCCAGUAGUCGUUCGA